ACACAUGCAGUCGAGCGGCAGCACGGGUACCUGUACCUGGUGGCGAGCGGCGGACGGGUGAGUAAUGCCUAGGAAUCUGCCUAGUAGUGGGGGAUAACGUCCGGAAACGGGCGCUAAUACCGCAUACGUCCUACGGGAGAAAGUGGGGGAUCUUCGGACCUCACGCUAUUAGAUGAGCCUAGGUCGGAUUAGCUAGUUGGUGAGGUAAUGGCUCACCAAGGCGACGAUCCGUAACUGGUCUGAGAGGAUGAUCAGUCACACUGGAACUGAGACACGGUCCAGACUCCUACGGGAGGCAACAGUGGGGAAUAUUGGACAAUGGGCGAAAGCCUGAUCCAGCCAUGCCGCGUGUGUGAAGAAGGUCUUCGGAUUGUAAAGCACUUUAAGUUGGGAGGAAGGGCAGUUACCUAAUACGUGAUUGUUUUGACGUUACUGACAGAAUAAGCACCGGCUAACUCUGUGCCAGCAGCCGCGGUAAUACAGAGGGUGCAAGCGUUAAUCGGAAUUACUGGGCGUGAAGCGCGCGUAGGUGGUUUGUUAAGUUGGAUGUGAAAGCCCCGGGCUCAACCUGGGAACUGCAUCCAAAACUGGCAAGCUAGAGUAUGGUAGAGGGUGGUGGGAAUUUCCUGUGUAGCGGUGAAAUGCGUAGAUAUAGGAAGGAACACCAGUGGCGAAAGCGACCACCUGGACUGAUACUGACACUGAGUGCGAAAGCGUGGGGAGCAAACAGGA
rnacentral:rRNA from 1 species